rnacentral:rRNA from 1 species
GAUGAACGCUAGCUACAGGCUUAACACAUGCAAGUCGCGGGGUAACAUCUGGUAGAGCUUGCUCUUCCAGGAUGACGACCGGCGCACGGGUGAGUAACGCGUAUCCAACCUGGCCCAUACCACGGGAUAGCCCGUCGAAAGGCGGAUUAAUACCGUAUGCUGUCAUUAAGAUGCAUAUAUUGAUGACGAAAGGACUGGCGGUAUGGGAUGGGGAUGCGUCUGAUUAGCUUGUUGGCGGGGUAACGGCCCACCAAGGCGACGAUCAGUAGGGGUUCUGAGAGGAAGGUCCCCCACAUUGGAACUGAGACACGGUCCAAACUCCUACGGGAGGCAGCAGUGAGGAAUAUUGGUCAAUGGGCGCAAGCCUGAACCAGCCAAGUAGCGUGAGGGGAAGACUGCCCUACGGGUUGUAAACCUCUUUUGUUUGGGAAUAAAGUGCGGGACGCGUCCCGCAUUGCAUGUACCUUAUGAAUAAGGACCGGCUAAUUCCGUGCCAGCAGCCG